AUGGUCUCGCUCUCUCUCUCCUUUGCAGCUAGCAACACGGCCCCGUCUGUCUUCCCCCUGACCUCCUGCACUGGCAAAGUCACCCCCCCCCAGGUCACCUUCGGCUGCCUGGCCAAAGGCUACUUCCCCGAGCCGGUCACCGUGACAUGGAGCCCCAACAUCGGCUCCUCGGGCGUGAGGACCUAUCCCUCCGUGCUGCAACCUUCCAGCGGCCUCUACUCGCUCAGCAGCCAGGCCACUGUCUCGGCCAGCAGCUGGAAGUCUAACACCUAUAGCUGCACCGUAGAGCACCGGCCCACCAGCUCCAGCAUCUCCAAGGAAAUCUCAAUGAUGUGCUUGAAUCCCCUGUGUCCUCCAUUCCCACCCACCGAAGGCAGGCGCUCUGACCCUGGCAUCUACCUCCUGCGCCCUCACAACGAGGAGCUGAGCAACUCCGAAGACUCCGUUAGCCUCACCUGCCUGGUGCAGGGCUUCUUCCCUGAGGACAUCUCUGUGCAGUGGAUGAAAAACCACAAACCCGAUGAGAGCUUGGAAUAUAUCACCACCCAGUCCAACAAGGACGGAGCCAGCAACUCGAACUUCUUCCUCUACAGCAAGCUGACAGCCAGCAAGUCCAGCUGGAACAGCGGGGACAACUACACCUGCAUGGUCAUCCACGAAGCCCUGCAGAUGAAGUUCACCCAACGCAGCGUCAGCAAAAUCUCUGAGGUGAUUGUGUCAGGUGAGUUUUGCAGCGAGGAUGGAGACGAGGAGUUAGACGGCCUCUGGUACACCAUCUCGGUCUUCAUCACCCUCUUCCUCCUGAGCGUGUGCUACAGCGCCACCAUCACCCUGUUCAAGGUGAAGUGGCUUUUCUCUGCAAUGGUGCAGCUGAAGGNAAGGGUGAAAGGAAUACCUCUGUGUCCGGAGAGGGGGCAGGAGCCUGGGAGGUUCACCGGGCACCUGACGAUGGAGGGAGGGAAUGAAGAGGAUGAAGCAGUGCAGUCCACCUCCUAG